GUUUCUCUUUUUAUUCACCAGUCCAGAGAGCGGUUUCCCUGUUCUCGCUGAACGAUGCAUCUGUUGGAUCAGAGGUUGGACCAGCUUACCCUGUACAUACGCACAAUACCCUGGAGCGACAGUCCUCCCCUCGAGUGCCACAUAUUUUGAGUGACGAGCCAGCAUUGGCACUAACUGGGAAAGUCUACCAGCUCGAGAUCCAAUUGAAGCAACUCCAGGACGAUCUGCUAAAGGAGAAAGAGGAUAAAAUUGUCCUGCAGGCAGAGGUGGCGAACCUGAGAGUUAACAAUCAGCGUCUCCAAGAGGAAUCCCUGUCAGCCACCGAGCAGCUGAGGAAAUUUGCAGAAAUAUUUUCCAGCACCAUAGAGAAAAAGUGAACUCCACCAGCCCUCCCACAGAAUCUCAACCCAGUUUAUUUUUCUCUUUCGUCAUCUACCUUUUGGAGCAACUGUAACCUGGAGUCACAGUCCAUCUCAGUGGUGGUGUCGGGUGGUGGGGUGUGGGCGGAGAAUUCUGGAACUUGCUGAACCACAGCAGCCAUUUUACAAAAAUUGCAGGUGGUGUUAGCUUUUUGACGGACACUGGAGGUAGAGGGAAGAAAUGUGAGCUGUGCGACAUCACCGGGUCAGCAACUAGUGGGCACUGCUAACCCUUGCAGUGCCAGCUCUGCCUGUACCUCCUUUCACAUCAUAGAAUGGAACUGGUCAGCAGAAAUGGCUUUUUAGGCAGUAGUUAAAUCUACAAGCCUAACCCUAACCCUUCCUCCCUACUGCCCCAACUCCUGCUAGCUACCAUUCGUCAAUAAUUAUUAUCCAUUGAUAAAUGUUUGAUCAAGUGUCUUCCUCCAAAACUUGGCAGGUUCAGUAAAGACUGUCAGUGUGAUGUGCUUUAGUAGAAAGCAGCAGCUUUCUUUUUAAAAAGAAACCUUUCAGUCAGAAAUUAUGCUUCAGUAAAUAUAGGUUGCCCUUGUUUAAUUAGCUUUAUUUUUAAAACCUCUUUUUCCUCAAGUGGUUCCCAGCUGCACAAAAGCCAAAGCGUUUACUCCAGGGUAAACCUGUCUGUCCGUGGGAUCGAAAACCAGUAUGUCCCAGUGUAUUCGCACCGCCUUUGUCCCAGCUUCGUGCGCACAACACUCUGGCUCUCUCGUAUUUUGUGUUCUUUUAAGGUUGCAGAUAGACAUGAGGGGCAAGGCAUCAUCCCCUACACAUAUUAGGACAUCGGGAUGAGAAGGUUCCAAGUUUAACCUUUUAGUCUCUAGCGGCUGGAUUCGGGCCGCAGAGUGGAGAGGUGCAGCUGCUUCCUGAAUCCGUGGAGGAUUGGGAGGAGACUGGGUCUCUGGUCAUCAUUGAGUAGUGACUGCCCUUAGGUCUUUUCCCACCCACUACUAAAGAAAAUGCUUUUUGUGUGGGGACGUAACUACGAUGCUCUCUGCAGCUGACCAGCUCAUCAUCCUAAAUCUGUGCUUGGAAAAAUAUCAGCAAGGUUGGAUGGAGGGGAGAGAGGAAAUAGCCAUCAACUAUGUAACAGUUCCUCUCAAUGCAAAGCCUUGAGGGAAGAGGUGGGGUGAUCAAAGUGGGACAAGUGGCAAACCACUUAAAACUCAGUGUAGGAGUUUCAUCAUAAACCACUUAGUUGCGAUAGUAAUACCAUGCUCUCUGACCUUUUGAUAAUCUGCAAUACAGUCAAUAGAUUUCAAUGAAGCUAUUUAAUUUUAGUUGAAAGUUUUAAUCAAAAGGCUUUGUUUCCAAUAUAUAAGAGAAAGUAAUAUUGCAAAUGAUAUUUAAAAAGCAGUCACCCAGGUCUAACAUUAAUAUAGGAAGUUAUUAAAGCACUUUCUCUCAGACUAAAUUAUUUUCUAGAAAAUUCCAUUUUAAGAUCGCUCAGGAAGUUUGAUCUAAUAAAUGUAAAUGCUCUUUGUAUACGUUAUAUUUGUAUAAAUUGCUUUAGGUUUGUUUUUUUUUUAAUUCAGAACUUAAUCAAAAUUGGAAUUGCUGAGGUGAAUCAGUGACUACUGAAUAUUCUGGAAUUUUUGUGAUCAUCCCUUUCUCGGGAUUAUACACUGCAGAAAAGACUAUUAUAGAAAAAUCGUGUGGAAUCAUUGAUUAAACAAGAGAACCAGCAGCUGAAUGUUAACCUAGAGCUGCUAAGUUGAUGCAGUCGUCUUGAUGUGGUCAAACUACGAUUUUAUAUUUUGUUGAAAUCUGUUCUUGAAAGGGGAACAGUCACAAAAUGAGCUGGAACCAGCCCACUGGGUUCCUUUCAUCCCUCUUUUGUGAGGAUCUGAGGGGAAAGAAAAAACACAUGCGCUUGUGCUAGUCUGGCUACAGUUUGGCUCAGUACACGAUCCCACACAGCAAGUCAAUGCAGUUGGCUGGAUGGAGUUUUCACCAGGCCAGGUACCACCUCGAUGUUCAGCAGUUGCAAUCAGUGACCAUGUGGGAUUUUAGCAUCUCCGUUCACAGGCACCUAGUUAGACAACUCCUGGCUGUUCAACACUGAAACAGUUGUAUUCACAAGUUCUUGUUGUUAUUUUAGGCCCUAUUGUUUCUUGACCUAUUUCUACACGCAGCCCCUAAUAUUGUCUCAAUCCAGUGACUAUGAAAUGGUACUGAGAAACAGUCAUGCAAGAAUGCUUGACACUCGUUCAUCUGAAAUUGUUUUGCUGGGUGUUUUGCGGGGGGUUAACAGAAUUAAUCAAGUUUAACACUUCCAGUAAAGGACUGUUGAAUACGUGAAGCACCUGUGCAGAAAUAUUCACAGUGCCGUCUCUCAGAACUGCAGGGUGAAUGGAUUUUUCGUUGUUUGAAAUACGCUGUGUGGCUCCAUGGGGAGCAGCACAGAACUGGCAGAGAGCUCCAAUGAUCCAAUCAAACGGAUGGCACAAACCAUCAGAUCCAUGUGUCGAGCGGUCAGGAGAUUGUUACAAGCUCAGACUUGCAGCUAGCGUAUGUUAGGCAAAAGGAAUGAGGAGGAUCCAAGAUCAGAGGAAGUGUGCUACUGCGGUCAAGGGGUCAUUGAGUGUACUAUAAUAGAACCUUAUGGUGUGGCCGGUGUUACCUUUGCUGCAAAGUAAACCAUAGCGUUUGUUAGAAAGAGUGUGUUCACGUGUGUCCAGGAUAAGAGGGUGGAAAAUACUUACUGUAGUUAAACUGCACUACAUAAGUUAAUACUUCAAAUUUAAACCAAAAACAACUGCCCUGUAUUGUGACUGUUCCCUUACAGAUAAUGCAGUCCUCUUUACCACUGCAUGCUGACAGCUUGUGCAUUUGCAAUUUCUUGUAUAAACUGGACUACAAAAUAACUUUUUUUAUAAGACAUUUGCAUAAACAACCUAAAUCUGAAGCUGAACAAGUGGGGAAAAAAAUGUUCCAAGCAUUGCAGCUGCAACCAUCAAUGUCUUAAAAAAAAGUUUACUUGGAAUUUUAUCAUUCUCUGUAAUAUUUGUGUAUAAAGAGUGAAGAAGUCUUAAAUUUUAUUGUUUUUGUGUGGUGCAGAUUUUCCAAUGUACAUUUUGUCUGUGUAGGAUUGUUGAUGUGAUUUUAUUGAUUUUUAUUUUUGGAGGGAGGGCAGUUUUUUGAGUAGUGUGUAAUUUAUCUGUUUAUCAUAUUUUAUAAAGACAUCAAGCUUUCAGAUGAGGUUUGUAUUUAAUUUGUGAUUUUUUUUUGAUUCAGCUACUCCAUCAAUGAAUCCUCUUUCACGUUUUUUCAUUCCUUUCGCAUGUAUCAGGAAAAGCGAAUAAAAGUUUUCAUAAACUUGUAAA